GAUGAACGCUGGCGGCGUGCCUAAUACAUGCAAGUCGAGCGAAGCGGGGACGGGUGAGUAACACGUGGAUAACCUCCUAUAAGACUGGGAUAACUUCGGGAAACCGGAGCUAAACCGGAUACGUAUAGAUGGAUCCGCGCUGCAUUAGCUAGUUGGUAAGGUAACGGCUUACCAAGGCAACGAUGCAUAGCCGACCUGAGAGGGGGGUCGGCCACACUGGAACUGGGACACGGUCCCGAAGCCUACGGGAGGGAGCAGUAGGGAAUCUUCCGGAAUGGGGGGAAGCCCGACGGAGCCACGCCGGGGGGGGGAUGGAGGGCUUCGGAUCGGAAAAACUUGUUAUUAGGGAAGCGGUACCUAAUCAGAAAGCCACGGCUAACUACGUGCCAGCAGCCGCGGUAAUAC
rnacentral:rRNA from 1 species